UGGGGAAUAUUGCACAAUGGGCGCAAGCCUGAUGCAGCCAUGCCGCGUGUAUGAAGAAGGCCUUCGGGUUGUAAAGUACUUUCAGCGGGGAGGAAGGCGACAGGGUUAAUAACCCUGUCGAUUGACGUUACCCGCAGAAGAAGCACCGGCUAACUCCGUGCCAGCAGCCGCGGUAAUACGGAGGGCGCAAGCGUUAAUCGGAAUUACUGGGCGUAAAGCGCACGCAGGCGGUCUGUCAAGUCGGAUGUGAAAUCCCCGGGCUCAACCUGGGAACUGCAUUCGAAACUGGCAGGCUAGAGUCUUGUAGAGGGGGGUAGAAUUCCAGGUGUAGCGGUGAAAUGCGUAGAGAUCUGGAGGAAUACCGGUGGCGAAGGCGGCCCCCUGGACAAAGACUGACGCUCAGGUGCGAAAGCGUGGGGAGCAAACAGG
rnacentral:rRNA from 1 species